rnacentral:rRNA from 1 species
AUUGAACGCUGGCGGCAUGCCUUACACAUGCAAGUCGAACGGCAGCACGGGAGCAAUCCUGGUGGCGAGUGGCGAACGGGUGAGUAAUAUAUCGGAACGUGCCCAGUCGUGGGGGAUAACGUAGCGAAAGCUACGCUAAUACCGCAUACGAUCUAUGGAUGAAAGCGGGGGAUCGCAAGACCUCGCGCGAUUGGAGCGGCCGAUAUCAGAUUAGGUAGUUGGUGAGGUAAAGGCUCACCAAGCCGACGAUCUGUAGCUGGUUUGAGAGAACGACCAGCCACACUGGGACUGAGACACGGCCCAGACUCCUACGGGAGGCAGCAGUGGGGAAUUUUGGACAAUGGGGGCAACCCUGAUCCAGCAAUGCCGCGUGAGUGAAGAAGGCCU